UAUUUAUGGGUUAAAGCCGUUAACAGGGAAUUAAAAAUAAAUAACUUAAUAAAUAUGUACCUAAUAAACUGAAAUUAUUUUUUGCCCUUAGUAUCUAUUUACAUUUAAUUAUACAAUUUGUAUACAUUUUUGAACUAAUAAAUGAAAAAUUGUUAUGACGAACAGUAAACAUGGUGAAGUAUUAAAAGAUCUACAAUAAGCUGUCAAAUAAGAAAUAAACAAUUGAAAUCCAAAGAAAUUGUUUCAAUACUAUCAUUUUCAUUACCACUUUAAUGAAUCCGUUAACUAUCAACAUUUAUUAGUUUAUUUAUUUACUUAUGAGUUUAAUAGUUUUAAUUCCACGGUUAUGGGGCGUUCCCACGAAGCGUUAAUCACGACAGUCAACCACGCUAGUCAACUUUCGUUCGUGACACUCACGAAAGUGUGAAUUGAUUAAACGUUCACAUGGUUGGGGGAUUUCGUGCCGUUCACGCCUCAUGUUUCGACUUAGUCAUUAUCGAAACAUCGAUCAUGAAUGAUCUGGUUGUUGAAAGUUGUGCUGUUUUAAGUUCGUUUUUUGCUACUAUCAUAGAAAAAAAAAUUGAGCGCUUACAGGACACAAGAAAACGAAAAAAAAGACGUUUUUGGGUUAGAGAAUGGAUACAGCGAAGAAAUAUUUU